UCUCCUGCAUUGACAGGCAGAUUUUUUUACCACUUGUACACCUGGGAAGCCCCUAUCUUUAUACCACUUAUCAAAAUCUAAGUUAUUGGUUUAACAUAUUGCUUUAUUGUUUCUUUCAUCAGUUGCUCUGUAUUAAAAUCUAAGCUUCAUGUGAUCACUGACAUAAUGAAUGUACCCCUAACCAUAUCCUUGCUUGCAAUAGUGCUUGGUACAUAGUAAGCUCCCCCUCCGCCCCAUUUCACCCAGAGAAGAAUGAAAAGAUGAAGUGCUUGUUGCUUUCAUAUUUUCCAGUAAUUGCUGCACUUACUAUCUCUUUCACCCACUUCUUCUCUGUCUUUUUCUUCCUCCUGACAUUGGAGCAGAGAAUUUUGAUGGCAUAAUGUACUGAAGAACAGUUAGGGCUAGGCAACAUUGUUCUUUGAGAAAGUCUUAAUAAUCCCACCCAGCACCUCUUCCACUCAACUUGAAGGAAUGGCUCACUUGCUGCAGAUCAGCAUGUUGGCUUGUUCUGAGUUUUGAUUCAUUCCACUGAACAGAGGAAAAACUUGGAAGCCAAAACAUGUUUCAAACUAACAGUUGUCGACUUGGAAACAUCAUGCCUGGGACCUACCGAAUCAGAAUUCUUCAUUUGUAAUUAGUAAGAAAGGACAUCAGUAGCCACAAAAUCUACUGAAAUAAAAUGAUCAUCUGGGGACGUUAGAGAAGAAGCCUCUUUCUGUUAAAUUGGCCUGGGCAUUUCACACAGAGAGUGGCCACCUGCGCUGGGGCUCAGGGCAGUUUUAUGACCUCAAUACAGAGAAAGUAACACAGUUUUUAAAGCAUUAGUGGUUCUCUGACCUGAUGGAAAUGAAUUCAUGGCGCUGGGCUGAUAUCCUUGUCUCAUAGCUAGUAACAUAAUUGUAAUAUAUUCUGGAAUGCAGGUGAACAUUUGAUGCAAUAGCUUGCGGAUAAUUGACAAUAUGUUGUUUUCAUCCUUUGAACUCCUAAAGUGAUAUUUGUGAAAGCACUGUCCAUGGAUGGUCUUCAUCAGAAUCACCAAUAUUAAAAUUAAAGCAAGUGUAAAUUAACUCAUUAAAAUUUUAAAACCCAAAC